rnacentral:lncRNA from 1 species
AUUAGACUUAAUGAACAUUUGAUCCAAACCUAUCUAGAUUAGGUUUGACCUAAUCUUUAGGCAUGUUUGAUUUGAAUUAGAUCUUAGUCAAAUUAAAUCAAAUUUAAUUUGAUUGGAUCUGAUUUUAAUUUUAUUGGGAUUAGGAUUCAUUAAUCUGAUGGGAUUGGACUUAAUCUAAAUUGGAUUCCAACCAACACUUGGAUUUGAACUAGACCUUAACCAAAUAGAACAAGGACAUCUAGCUCUCUAAAUCCCCACACCCCAAGGCCUUACAUGCCUAAGGUUUUUCACAUGGAAAGGGUUUUCACAUUGAGAGUGGGUGUGGAAAAUUUUAGGGGAGCAAGGGUGUUGGGCGGCUACAUGGAUAGAGUCCUACUCUAUCUCUAAAGCUCCCCAACAACCCUAGUUUGAGAUUUAAAUAGAGGACAAAAGGUGGGGUGCCUCUUGGUAAAGAUGAGAUCUAAUUUUGGAUGCCCCACACAAGGAGAUUGGCGUGGAGAUCUAGGGAGGAUGCCCAACGCUUAUGGGCAUUGGAUAUGUGGAGUUUUUCUACAUGAAAAAAAGGUGAGGCGCCCCCUCUCUUCCUCAACCUUUUUUUCUUACAAUAGUUGUUAGAAAACUUCCUCCCUCUCUCCUUUGUUCAAG